CUUUUAAAGGAUAAUAGCAAUCCACUGAUUUUAGGAAUCAAAAAUUUUGGUGCAAUUCCAAGUAAAAGU
rnacentral:tRNA from 1 species